rnacentral:lncRNA from 1 species
AUACCCCUCCUACCUCUCUCUCUUCCUCUUUUUCUCUUCCUCCUCCCUCUUCUCUCCCUCCUCCUUCCUCCUCCUCUCCUGCCUCCUUCCUCUCUCUUUCUCCUUGCCGUUAUCUUUUGAGCCACAAAACGGCCAACUAACUGGCUUACAGCAGGGCAGCAUUGAAGGUUCCCCAUUCUGUGCAAACACCUUUGGAGCGAAUCCUGUGGCAGGGAAGAGAGAGCAAUUAGCUUCCUGAAGUCUCAGCCGGGUCUGUUAAUGAACGCUGCUGGCACUGUAAUUUACAGAUGGGAUUAUGACAUUCCCACCUCUACUCAGGUCCUGCUUCCUCAACUCUCAGAGGUGAGGAGAUGAUGAAUGAGUUAAUAUUUGUUCAAGGAUUUGCAGAAAAGCAGCGUCUUAAAAGCUGCCGCAAAUGGCGCUUCUACGCAGUUCCCUCUAAGUGAGAGCAAGAGAAGGAGACUGGAGCAGGACACCAGGCUGCUCUUUGCACUCUGCACACCGCUGGGACACAGAGGCCUCUUGCCUGCUCAUGGCAGUACUUGUUCAUGUGAUGUUUAUAGGACGUGGGAGGCGCAGUUAACAGCUUUCCUCACGGACUCCAUCCAGUAUCUUCUGGGAGCAUCUCCUUAGCCUCUGCCCUCAGAACCUGCCUCAGGCCCAGUGCUCAUGAACCUUCAUCAGAAUUUCCCAUCAAGUGAAAAAUUCUUUCGAAAGGUCCUUUAGGGCCCAGUCAGAUGACGGAGUAACUGCUUUGAGAAAGUAAUUUAACCCAGUGCAUUAACCAUGGCAAACUUCUCAGAGAAUCUUCUUCAAAGGUGAAGUUCCCAUAUCCUCCAAGUCAAAAAAGUGAGGUGACUGCAAAGGAAUGUGUUACAGCCUUGCAGGAAAUCCACAAAAAAAUUCCUUUCUCUUCUGAAGUUCAAAGGUGAAACAAAGAACGGGAGCAAGCCACUUUCAAAGUUCAGAACUGUGCUUUUACAAGCUGACUUCUAACAGUAGCUGUGUGGCCUCAGAUAUGCCACAAAUCCUGAGGGUCUCUGCAUAGCAAGCUCCAGGCCACCACAACCGUCUCUCAGCUACUCUGUCUCCUAGGGGCCUCUUUUAAGUCAGUUCAUGACAAAGUUAUAGGGAAAGGCCUUGAGAGCCAUUACAUAUAAGAGCCACAAUAAAAAAGAUUUUCAUCGUU